UGCGCAGGCGGGAAAUUAAGUCAGUGGUGAAAUCCUGCAGCUUAACUGUAGAAUUGCCAUUGAUACUGAUUUUCUUGAGUGCAGUUGAGGUGGGCGGAAUGUGUAAUGUAGCGGUGAAAUGCUUAGAUAUUACACAGAACACCGAUUGCGUAGGCAGCUCACUAAACUGUUACUGACGCUCAGGCACGAAAGCGUGGGGAGCGAACAGGAUUAGAUACCCUGGUAGUCC
rnacentral:rRNA from 1 species